rnacentral:rRNA from 1 species
UGGGGAAUUUUGGACAAUGGGCGCAAGCCUGAUCCAGCAAUGCCGCGUGAGUGAAGAAGGCCUUCGGGUUGUAAAGCUCUUUCAGUUGAGAAGAAAAGAUCGUGACUAAUAAUUGCGAUUUAUGACGGUAUCAACAGAAGAAGCACCGGCUAACUACGUGCCAGCAGCCGCGGUAAUACGUAGGGUGCAAGCGUUAAUCGGAAUUACUGGGCGUAAAGGGUGCGCAGGCGGUUUUGUAAGUCAGAUGUGAAAUCCCCGGGCUUAACCUGGGAAUUGCGUUUGAAACUGCAAGGCUAGAGUGUGGCAGAGGGGGGUGGAAUUCCAUGUGUAGCAGUGAAAUGCGUAGAGAUAUGGAAGAACACCGGUGGCGAAGGCGGCCCACUGGCUCGAUACUGACGCUGAGGUGCGAAAGCGUGGGGAGCAAACAGGAUUAGAUACCCAAGUAGUCCCUGAGCGGGCUGGCAAGGCGCAU